GGAGAGACAAGAAGGAAGAAAUUGGCCUAGAAUGAGCAAGGCACAGCCUUGGCUACACAGUCACUCCUUUUCCAAUUCAUUCCCAACCUUCUACCUCCUACUGCAACCCCACUAUUCUCCAGGUUCUCAACUCCAGGCCCUUUGUUCCUGGAGUUGAGAACAUCUACCACAAUCUUCAGCAGGAGUCUCCAAACUGCUGUAGAUCUGGUUUCCCUCCAUCCCUGACCUCCCAGGACUACGUCAUUCUUUCUUGUUAGUACUCGUGUUUUAACAGACACUGGGGCUUGAGCAUUCAGGAGAUGUGCAGUUGUUCACUUUGCUAUCACAUGUGAACUUUGUCGUGCACCCAGAGUAGGAGCAAGGAUGCUGGUAACAUCCCUGCCUGCUCCUUGCUCUUGAAAGAGCUGAUACAGCUGUGGGGUAACAGAGAACGGGAUGAGUUACUUCUUCCAGGGGCCAGACCCUGUACAAAGAUGCCUGUCUGACAUGCCCUUAUCCUAACAAGUGUGUUGGUUUGAAUGAGAAUGGCCCCCAUAAGCCCAUAUGUUUGAAUGUUUUGUCCCCAGUUACUGAACAGCUGGGAAGGUGUGGCCUUGUUGGAGGAGAUAUGACACUGGGGGUGGGCUUUGAGGUUUCAAAAGGCACAUUAGGGUCUGUCUAUCUAUCUAUCUAUCUAUCUAUCUAUCUAUCUAUCUAUCUAUCAUCUAUUUGUCUGUCUAUGUCUCUGUCUCUCUCUCUUUCUCCCUCUAUCUCU
rnacentral:lncRNA from 1 species